CCUACGGGAGGCAGCAGUGGGGAAUAUUGGGCAAUGGGCGCAAGCCUGACCCAGCAACGCCGCGUGAAGGAAGAAGGCUCUCUGGGUGUAAACUUCUUUUCUGAGGGACGAAGAAAGUGACGGUACCUCAGGAAUAAGCCACGGCUAACUACGUGCCAGCAGCCGCGGGAGUACGUAGGUCGCAAGCGUUAUCCGGAUUUAUUGGGUGUAAAGGGCGUGUAGGCGGGAAAGCAAGUCAGAUGUGAAAACUCAGGGCUCAACCCUGGGCCUGCCUUUGAAACUGUGUUUCUUGAGUGCUGGAGAGGCAGGCGGAAUGCAGGGUGUAGCGGUGAAAUGCGUAGAGAUAC
rnacentral:rRNA from 1 species